GCGGACGUGGCGCAAUGGUAGCGUAACAGACUUCGGAUCUGUGGGUUGCGGGUUCAAAUCCCGUCGUCCGUG
rfam:Edhazardia aedis TSNM 41457 supercont1.25, whole genome shotgun sequence.